UUAAGCUACUAAGGGCGUACGGUGGAUGCCUUGGCGUCAAAUGCCGAUGAAGGACGUGGAACACUGCGAUAAGCCUCGGGGAGCCGUGUGCAGGCUUCGAUCCGGGGAUGUCCGAAUGGGGAAACCCGGCGUCGGGACGCAAGUCUCCGAUGUCAUCCCCUAGCUGAACACAUAGGCUAGGGGAGGGGAACCUGGGGAACUGAAACAUCUUAGUACCCAGAGGAAAAGAGAUCAUUCCGCUAGUAGUGGCGAGCGAACGCGGAAAAGCCCAAACCGACCUGGCUUGCCGGGUCGGGGUUGUAGGACCGGCACAUAGGAGUGAUAAAUCUAAGGGUUAGCAGAAUGGUGUUGAAAAGCCUACCGCAGAGGGUGCUAGUCCCGUAUGCGAAAACCUGAAGACUCCUGCCGAGUUCCUGAGUACUGCCGGGCACGCUAAUCCGGUAGGAAGCUGGGGAGCCCACUCUCCAAGGCUAAAUACGUUUGGCGACCGAUAGUGAACAAGUACCGUGAGGGAAAGGUGAAAAGGACCCCUGUUAGGGGAGUGAAAUAGAACCUGAAACCGUGUGCCUACAAGCAGUCGGAGGGCUAAUGGCGCGUCUGUGUACCCGGGAAACCGGGAAAUGCGGCGCUAUGCCUGACGGCGUGCCUUUUGGAGAAUGAACCAGCGAGUUAAUUUCUGUGGCGAGGUUAAGGGAGUGACACCUGGAGCCGAAGCGAAAGCGAGUCUGAAUAGGGCGAAUUAGUCGCAGGAAUUAGACACGAAACGGAGUGAGCUACCCAUGGCCAGGGUGAAGUCCCGGUAAAACGGGAUGGAGGCCCGAACCUUUAGAUGUUGCAAAAUCUUGGGAUGAGCUGUGGGUAGAGGUGAUAUGCCAACCGAACUCCGAGAUAGCUUGUUCUCCCCGAAAUAGCUUUAGGGCUAGCGUCGUGCGUUCAGUACCGGAGGUAGAGCACUGGAUGGGCUAAGGGGCUUAUCGCUUACUAAACCUAACCAAACUCCGAAUGCCGGUACUCUAGAGCACGGCAGUCGGACCACGGGAGAUGAGUUUCGUGGUCGAAAGGGAAAGAGCCCAGACCAUCGGCUAAGGUCCUCAAAUCUGAGCUAAGUGGGAAACGAUGUGGGAUUGUUGAGACAGCCAGGAGGUUGGCUUAGAAGCAGCCAUCCUUUAAAGAGUGCGUAACAGCUCACUGGUCAAACGAUCCUGCGCGGAUAAUGUAACGGGGCUUAAGUUCAGUACCGAAGCCAUGGGUUUGUCCCUCUUGCGAGAGGGAUGAGCGGUAGGGGAGCGUUCUGUCUGCAUGGAAGGGUGACCGUGAGGACGCCUGGAGCGGGCAGAAGUGAGAAUGCUGGUAUGAGUAGCGUAAAACACGUGAGAACCGUGUUCGCCGUAAGUCUAAGGUUUCCGACGGAAGGUCAAUCCGCGUCGGGUUAGUCGGUCCUUAGCCGAGGCCGAAAGGCGUAGGCGAUGGAUAUCCGGUCAAUAUUCCGGAACCACCUAGGAGGAGCGAUGGGGUGACGCGGCGGGGUAGGCCAGCCUGCGAUUGGUUGUGUAGGUGCUAAGCGUGUAGGCGUUGAGGGACAUAGGAAAAUCCGUGUCCUGAGCCGAGGCGCGAUGGCGUGGCCCUGAGCCGGAAGUGGUUGAGCCCGGCCGCCAAGAAAACCCUCUAAGUGAUGAACCCUGGGUGCCCGUACCGCAAACCGACACUGGUAGACGGGUAGAGCAUACCAAGGCGAACGGGAGAACCCUCGUUAAGGAACUAGGCAAAUUGACCCCGUAACUUCGGGAGAAGGGGUGCCUUUUCAGGUGAAAUUCGAACGGAUGGAGCUUGAAAAGGCCGCAGUGAAAGGGCUCUGGUGACUGGUUAACAAAACCACAGGUCUCUGCUAAGCCGCAAGGCGAUGUAUAGGGGCUGACGCCUGCCCAGUGCCGGAAGGUUAAAGGGAAGGGUUAUCCCGCGUAAGCGGGAAAAGCUCAGAACUGAAGCCCCGGUGAACGGCGGCCGUAACUAUAACGGUCCUAAGGUAGCGAAAUUCCUUGUCGGGU
rnacentral:rRNA from 1 species